rnacentral:rRNA from 1 species
GACGAACGCUGGCGGCGUGCUUAACACAUGCAAGUCGAACGGAAAGGCCCUGCUUUUGUGGGGUGCUCGAGUGGCGAACGGGUGAGUAACACGUGAGUAACCUGCCCUUGACUUUGGGAUAACUUCAGGAAACUGGGGCUAAUACCGGAUAGGAGCUCCUGCUGCAUGGUGGGGGUUGGAAAGUUUCGGCGGUUGGGGAUGGACUCGCGGCUUAUCAGCUUGUUGGUGGGGUAGUGGCUUACCAAGGCUUUGACGGGUAGCCAGCCUGAGAGGGUGACCGGCCACAUUGGGACUGAGAUACGGCCCAGACUCCUACGGGAGGCAGCAGUGGGGAAUAUUGCACAAUGGGCGGAAGCCUGAUGCAGCAACGCCGCGUGCGGGAUGACGGCCUUCGUGUUGUAAACCGCUUUCGCCUGUGACGAAGCGUGAGUGACGGUAAUGGGUAAAGAAGCACCGGCUAACUACGUG